UCCUCGAUAGCUCAGUUGGUAGAGCAAUGGACUGUUAAUCCAUUUGUCGCUGGUUCGAGCCAGCUCGAGGAGCCA
rnacentral:tRNA from 1 species